rnacentral:rRNA from 1 species
UACGGAGGGUGCAAGCGUUGUUCGGAUUUACUGGGCGUAAAGCGCGCGUAGGUGGGUGUACAAGUCGGAAGUGAAAUCUUGAGGCUCAACCUCGAGGCUGCUCCCGAAACUGUACGCCUAGGGACUGGUAGAGGCUGGUAGAAUUCCCGGUGUAGCGGUGGAAUGCGUAGAGAUCGGGAAGAAUACCUGUGGCGAAGGCGGCCCGCUGGGCCAGAUCCGACGCUGAGGCGCGAAAGCGUGGGGAGCAAACAGG